CAAAUGAAAAGAUUCAUUAAAGAUUGAGCAAAACAUUCGAUUAAAAUAGGUGUAUAUUUUAUUUUGUCAAAAGACUUCUAAAACUUUAUUUAAAGUCAUUUUCACAGCUUUGCAUCUAUCUCGGUGUCAUUGCUGACAGCUUCCUCCCUCCCCCAGUCUUCAGAAAAAAAUACAUCACGUUGGCUUUGCUAAUGGUGAAACAUUUAGUACACUUAGCCUGAGUUUCUGUUAGCAUUUUGAUGACAGCAGCUACCGGAGCUCUGCUGCCCUGUUUUCUUGCCAUAAUAAAAUGCUGGGGCUGGAGCUCUUUGCUGGAGGACUUUGCAAGGCAAAGUGAGGGGGUAUAGUCCAUCGGGGCGCUGCAACAUCCCGGCGUAGAGCAGAGAUCUGCUGCACGCAGCCUCCUGGUUUUGAAGCAAGGAGAACUGCCUGCUAGAGGAGAAGCUGCAGCAAGUUUUGUGCUGAGCACGUGGCAAGUAUAAUACCCAGAGAAAGAGCUUUUAUCCGAAUCAUCCCAGUAAUUAAAUACGUCCUGGUUGUGGGAGUCUAUGCUCCUGCCCAAACCCUCUUUAACCACUAGUGGCGUCAUUGUGGCAACUGCAAGGACAUCUGCUCCUCUCCGUGCCUCCGAAGCCAGUGGCAUUCAGUGACUUGGACGAGCACUGGGUGAGCCUUAUCAACAGUACUUGUUUUUCUCUGGGACCAGAAAUACAGAAGCAGAAUGAAGAAGCCUUUGUGUAAAUCUACAUCAGGUCCCCUGUGCAAAGAUUGCACAGACCACAAAGUGCUUGGAAGAGCAGCUGCUGGAGUUGAUGGAGUUUAUUCCAACUUCUGUGGAGUUUCAGGGAAAUUCAACCUCUCAGCUUGCAGGAGUCCAAGUGAAGAGUGGAAAUAAUGAUCGGUGCUGUGCUGUGGUCCUCUGUGCUGGCUUGACAGCCUCAGGAUGCCAGAAGUGUUAUCGAUCUACUUCUGCACACGUCCAGUGAGUCUGGAAACUUUCGGGGGCAUCUGAGGCUGGAAGGCUGCCAGUUCUCGUCAAUGGUUAUCAGCAACUGGGGGCAAGAUGUGGUUACUCCUUCAGCACAGUGU